AGGGUGUAAACGCUGCAGACUUGGUGUUGGAAGCCCUUUGGGGGCAUUCAGUGCCGGAGAGAAGUUGUUAAGUCUGCUACUUGGGGAGUGCGUCCGCAAGGAUGAAACUUAAAGGAAUUGGCGGGGGAGCACCGCAACGGGAGGAGCGUGCGGUUUAAUUGGAUUCAACACCGUAAAACUCACCAGGGAAGACUGUUACAUGAAGGCCGAGAUGAAGACUCUGCUAGAUUUUCAGAGAGGAGGUGCAUGGCGUCAGUGACU
rnacentral:rRNA from 1 species